rnacentral:rRNA from 1 species
AGUCGAGCGGUAGAGAGAAGCUUGCUUCUCUUGAGAGCGGCGGACGGGUGAGUAAUGCCUAGGAAUCUGCCUGGUAGUGGGGGAUAACGUUCGGAAACGGACGCUAAUACCGCAUACGUCCUACGGGAGAAAGCAGGGGACCUUCGGGCCUUGCGCUAUCAGAUGAGCCUAGGUCGGAUUAGCUAGUUGGUGGGGUAAUGGCUCACCAAGGCGACGAUCCGUAACUGGUCUGAGAGGAUGAUCAGUCACACUGGAACUGAGACACGGUCCAGACUCCUACGGGAGGCAGCAGUGGGGAAUAUUGGACAAUGGGCGAAAGCCUGAUCCAGCCAUGCCGCGUGUGUGAAGAAGGUCUUCGGAUUGUAAAGCACUUUAAGUUGGGAGGAAGGGCAGUUGCCUAAUACGUAACUGUUUUGACGUUACCGACAGAAUAAGCACCGGCUAACUCUGUGCCAGCAGCCGCGGUAAUACAGAGGGUGCAAGCGUUAAUCGGAAUUACUGGGCGUAAAGCGCGCGUAGGUGGUUUGUUAAGUUGGAUGUGAAAUCCCCGGGCUCAACCUGGGAACUGCAUUCAAAACUGACUGACUAGAGUAUGGUAGAGGGUGGUGGAAUUUCCUGUGUAGCGGUGAAAUGCGUAGAUAUAGGAAGGAACACCAGUGGCGAAGGCGACCACCUGGACUAAUACUGACACUGAGGUGCGAAAGCGUGGGGAGCAAACAGGAUUAGAUACCCUGGUAGUCCACGCCGUAAACGAUGGAUACUAGGUGUUUCGGGUAUUGACCCCCGAAGUGCCGUCGCUAACGCAUUAAGUAUCCCGCCUGGGAAGUACGACCGCAAGGCUAAAACUCAAAGGAAUUGAC